CAUCCCAGUGCUGGUGCGAGAGUCAGCACCCAGGACGACGCCGCCAUUAUAGGUGACGCCGAUAAUAGUGGUACCCAUUGAGUGAGGAGCCUUGAGACCCAUUAGCUUGGUAAAAAGAAAAGAUUAAUAUUGCAGAUCAGUGGAGCAAAGCAGCAAGCAGAAGAUUGUUUUUAUUUUUCUUUGUUGCCUGGGAACCUGACCUCCCCCUCAAG
rnacentral:misc_RNA from 1 species